GCGGGUGUGGCGCAGCUGGUUAGCGCGACAGGUUGUGGCCCUGUAGGUCGUGGGUUCGAAUCCCAUCACUCGCCCCA
rnacentral:tRNA from 1 species